rnacentral:pre_miRNA from 1 species
AAACCGUUACCAUUACUGUGCUUAGUAAUGGUAAGGGUUCUC